UUCCGGUUGAUCCUGCCGGACCUGACUGCUAUCGGAUUGGUACUAAGCCAUGCGAGUCAUUGUAGCAAUACAAGGCGGACGGCUCAGUAACACGUAGUCAACCUAACUCGUGGACGUGGAUAACCUCGGGAAACUGAGAAUAAACCACGAUAGACCAUAGUGCCUGGAAUGGCUUAUGGUCCAAACAGUUUACUGCCAUGGGAUGGGACUGCGGCCUAUCAGCUUGUUGGUGAGGUAAUGGCCCACCAAGGCGAUUACAGGUACGGGCUCUGAGAGGAGAAGCCCGGAGAUGGGUACUGAGACACGGACCCAGGCCCUAUGGGGCGCAGCAGGCGAGAAACCUUAGCAAUGUGCGAAAGCACGACUGGGUCAGUCCGAGUGAUUCCUGAUAAAGGAGUCUUUUGCUUGUCCUAAAAGCACAGGUGAAUAAGGGGUGGGCAAGUCUGGUGUCAGCCGCCGCGGUAAUACCAGCACCUCGAGUGGUCAGGACGUUUAUUGGGCCUAAAGCAUCCGUAGCCGGCUUUGCAAGUCUUCGGUUAAAUCCACCUGCUCAACAGAUGGGCUGCUGGAGAUACUACAAAGCUAGGGAGUGGGAGAGGCAGACGGUAUUCAGUGGGUAGGGGUAAAAUCCUCUGAUCCAUUGAGGACCACCAGUGGCGAAGGCGGUCUGCCAGAACACGUUCGACGGUGAGGGAUGAAAGCUGGGGGAGCAAACCGGAUUAGAUACCCGGGUAGUCCCAGCUGUAAACGAUGCAAACUCGGUGAUGCAUUGGCUUAUGGCCAAUGCAGUGCCGCAGGGAAGCCGUUAAGUUUGCCGCCUGGGAAGUACGGACGCAAGUCUGAAACUUAAAGGAAUUGGCGGGGGAGCA
rnacentral:rRNA from 1 species